CAGCGCCACUAGUGGGAAUCAGCUUUAUUUGGCCUAAAGCGUCCGUAGCUGGUUUGAUAAAUCUUUUGUGAAAUCAUUGGGCUUAACCUAAUGGCAUGCAGGAGACACUAUUAAACUCGAGACCGGGAGAAGUUAGGAGUAUUUUUGGGGGAGCGGUAAAAUGCUAUAAUCCCAAACAGACUACCUGUGGCGAAGGCGCCUAACUAGAACGGAUCUGACAGUGAGGGACGAAAGCCAGGGGAGCGAUCCGGAUUAGAGACCCGAGUAGUCC
rnacentral:rRNA from 1 species